GGAAGAUUGAGCAUCAAUUCGCCUCACUGAUCUGAAGAAAAUGCUCAUGGAGGAUGAAGAGAUGUGAUUGGACACAUCAUCCACAUCCCUACAGGAGCCUUCAAAGAACCGCUGCGCUGAUGCUGCUGUGCUGCUGCCGUCUCAAGAUGGCCGCUUAAAGGAAGGAAGCAACAGCGUGACCGCACAAUGCACAGAAGGUCCUGGUGAAAGUGGACCUGAAAGCAGCACUUAUGGAAAAGGAAGCAGCAAUUGAGGAAAUGGAUGAAGGAGGUAACGCAACACCCUUUCUUCAUAAUGAAAAUCUCCAUAUAUAAUAUUAAGGUAUUCAUUCAUCAUCCUGUGCAAAAAGGAUCUCGUAUCCAUCACGUUAAAAAAAACACAGAUGCUCACGGGCUUUGAGAGUGAGCACUCAAUUCACUAAAGAAAGACUGGUGCCAAUAGGAAACUUAGACAUAUGGGCUUUUUAAAUCAUGAACAGGCCUGAUAAACUGGCUGAAAACCCCGCAAAAUCAAUGACAAAAAUUGAACUUUUAACAGCGACUGGACCAAAAAGUAUGGAUGUAUUGAAAUUGAUGACUGUGAUGUAUUUUGAAUUUGUGGUUGUCGUCUCUGGCUGUUAAACCGUGGCGAUCAAAACUGGUGGUUCAAUACAUGAAUUUGACCAGCAGAGGGCGAUAGAGCUUGGCUUUAGGUUUAAUUAAACAUGUGUGCAAUGUUUGCUGUGUGUGUUAACACUAGAUAGGGUCAGAACGUGGAGU